CUCUCUGUAGACAUGAUACAUGACAAAGCACAAUGUCGUCGUUUGAUUCAUGUAACCGACCCCACUUAGUGGGACAAGACUUUAUUGUUGUAUAUUAUACACAUUUUCUUUGAAUUGACCGUCAUGUUUUAGUAAACAAACAUGAAUCUAAUUAUUUCUUGAAGUUGCAAAAGUAAAUAAAUUCAGUUACGGAGUUCCAUGCGUGACUUGAUGUUUUGCUAACUCAUGUUUUGCUGUCAUGAUAGGGGAAGAUUGUUCCUCCAAGAGGAUCCACUGAUUUUUUAUGGGAUCCAAUUUUUCAACCCGAUGGCUAUGAGCAAAGGUAUGCAGAGAUACCCAAGGAGGAGAGAAUAAAAUUUCCCACCGUUUCAAAUCUCUUGAAUUAGUGAAUCUGGAUAUGCAUUUCAGAUCAAUAAUGUCUGGCAGAGCUUUUGUUGCCAUUGAGGUUAGACUAUAGGUGCAAGAACUUUAUGAAAUUUGGUUUAGUUUUUGGCUAGUUGCCAUUUCUUUGUUAGACUUGAAUACGGAAAAUGAUAUUUGAGUUCAACAAUAGAAGAAUCAACGAUCUCUGAAAUUGACAGAAAACUUGGAUCUCUAGCAA